AGUGAACGCUGGCGGCGUGCCUAAUACAUGCAAGUCGAACGAUGAAGUCCUAGCUUGCUAGGAUGGAUUAGUGGCGCACGGGUGAGUAAUAUAUAGUUAAUCUGCCCUACACAGAGGAACAACAGUUGGAAACGACUGCUAAUACCUCAUACUCCUAUUUGACAUAAGUUAAAUAGGGAAAGUCUUUUCGGUGUAGGAUGAGACUAUAUCGUAUCAGCUAGUUGGUAAGGUAAUGGCUUACCAAGGCUAUGACGCGUAACUGGUCUGAGAGGAUGAUCAGUCACAUUGGAACUGAGACACGGUCCAAACUCCUACGGGAGGCAGCAGUAAGGAAUAUUGCGCAAUGGGGGAAACCCUGACGCAGCAACGCCGCGUGGAGGAUGACACUUUUCGGAGCGUAAACUCCUUUUAUCAGGAAAGAAUAAUGACGGUACCUGAGGAAUAAGCACCGGCUAACUCCGU
rnacentral:rRNA from 1 species